rnacentral:rRNA from 1 species
AGAGUUUGAUCCUGGCUCAGAUUGAACGCUGGCGGCGUGCCUAACACAUGCAAGUCGAGCGGUAACAGGUGUAGCAAUACAUGCUGACGAGCGGCGAACGGGUGAGUAAUGCUUCGGAAUCUACCCUCUAGUGGGGAAUAACCAGCCGAAAGGUUGGCUAAUACCGCAUACGUCCUACGGGAGAAAGCAGGGGAUCGUAAGACCUUGCGCUGAUGGAUGAGCCGAAGUCGGAUUAGCUAGUUGGUGAGGUAACGGCUCACCAAGGCGACGAUCCGUAGCUGGUCUGAGAGGACGACCAGCCACACUGGAACUGAGACACGGUCCAGACUCCUACGGGAGGCAGCAGUGGGGAAUAUUGGACAAUGGGGGCAACCCUGAUCCAGCGACGCCGCGUGUGUGAAGAAGGCCUGCGGGUUGUAAAGCACUUUUAGUGGGGAUGAAAUGUGCAGGGUUAAUACCUCUGCAUUUUGACCUAACCCACAGAAAAAGCACCGGCUAACUCUGUGCCAGCAGCCGCGGUAAUACAGAGGGUGCAAGCGUUAAUCGGAAUUACUGGGCGUAAAGCGUGCGCAGACGGUUAUAUAAGUCGGGUGUGAAAGCCCCGGGCUCAACCUGGGAAUUGCAUUCGAGACUGUGUAGCUAGGGUACGGAAGAGGGAAGCGGAAUUUCAGGUGUAGCGGUGAAAUGCGUAGAUAUCUGAAGGAACACCAGUGGCGAAAGCGGCUUCCUGGUCCAGUACCGACGUUCAGGCACGAAAGCGUGGGGAGCAAACAGGAUUAGAUACCCUGGUAGUCC